rnacentral:rRNA from 1 species
AUUGAACGCUGGCGGAAUGCUUUACACAUGCAAGUCGAAUGGUAGAGGGGGCAACCCCUCGAGAGUGGCGAACGGGUGAGUAAUAUAUCGGAACGUGCCCAGUCGUGGGGGAUAACGUAGCGAAAGUUACGCUAAUACCGCAUACGAACUAAGGAUGAAAGCGGGGGAGCGCAAGACCUCGCGCGACUGGAGCGCCCGAUAUAGGAUUAGGUAGUUGGUGGGGUAAAGGCUCACCAAGCCAACGAUCUGUAGCUGGUCUGAGAGGACGACCAGCCACACUGGAACUGAGACACGGUCCAGACUCCUACGGGAGGCAGCAGUGGGGAAUUUUGGACAAUGGACGCAAGUCUGAUCCAGCCAUUCCGCGUGCAGGAUGAAGGCCCUCGGGUUGUAAACUGCUUUUGUACGGAACGAAGAGGUCUCUCUUAAUACGGGGGACUCAUGACGGUACCGUAAGAAUAAGCACCGGCUAACUACGUGCCAGCCGCCGCCGUAAUAC